rnacentral:hammerhead_ribozyme from 1 species
AUCCAGCUGACGAGUCCCAAAAUGGGACGAAACGCGUGUCCUGGAU